AGAUGGCGACCGGCGCACGGGUGAGUAACACGUAUCCAACCUGCCGAUAACUCGGGGAUAGCCUUUCGAAAGAAAGAUUAAUACCCGAUGGCAUAAUAGAACCGCAUGGUUUGAUUAUUAAAGAAUUUCGGUUUAUCGAUGGGGAUGCGUUCCAUUAGGCAGUUGGUGGGGUAACGGCCCACCAAACCUUCGAUGGAUAGGGGUUCUGAGAGGAAGGUCCCCCACAUUGGAACUGAGACACGGUCCAA
rnacentral:rRNA from 1 species